UUCGCAGGGCACUUGGGAAUUGGGAGUUGAGAGUAGUGCGGUGCCCCAAGUUUAUAUACAGGUCGGUCUAUAAAAUGAGAUGAGAGGCGGGGUAGGGGAAAGAAGAGGCUACUCUAUAGAGUGAGUUCUUCUGAUUUAGGGUUCUUAUGAAAAUUGCGAGUUGAGAGUUAGGGCGUUGCCCCAAGUUUAUAGACUGGCCGGUCUAUAUAAUGAGAUGAGAAGGGGAAAGAAGAGGCUACUCCAUAGAUAUUCAAUAAUGACUGAAGAAGAAAAUUCAGACGAAGUGAAGGAGGAUGCGGGCUGAUAUUUCCCCAUUUGAUCCUACAAAAAACUGAAAAAUAAGUAAAAGAAGAAAGUGGUUAUUCUUGAUCUUGCAAAUGAUUCUCUGGAUAAGUUGGCUGAGAAAAUCGAAAGUUUGUCAGGUCCCAUAAUUAUGCUGAUGCAUCUGUCAUUGCACCCACACAGUUUCUGAUGGGCUUGAGACUACCUUUUCUGGCCUGAAAAGAAGAAGAAGAAACGUUAUGAUACAAGAGAAAGACAGAAAUGAUGUUUAAGUAGCUGAUGUACAGGCUAGGGGGAAUGGAGAAUAUGGCUGUUUUACAAAAGUAAGGAACACUACCUUAUUUGCCGUGUGGGUUUACUUCUUACUGGAGUGAAGUUGAUUGGGCCGCAGAGUGAGGGAGGAGGAUAAGUGGAGAAUGGAGAAUUAGGUGGGAGAAAAUGAUGAAUGAUGGGCUUGAGACUACCUUUUCUGGUCUGAAAGAAGAAGAAGAAACGUGCAGACAGAGCAUGUCAUGACUUUCUUGCUGGCUGAAAUUGGGAUGAGUGGAUCACUUGAUGGACAACAAAGAUAGUUGUGAAGGGAAGGUGUGGAACCAAAUUUUUUUGAGGGGAUCCCGGGGAUAUGUCAGUAAGUAUGUCAUCUGCAAUGGGUGAAAUGUCCAGACACAAUUCUUUUGAAGGAGAAUUGGCUGUUCUUUCUUAAAUGUGAGAAGAUGAGUAUGUCAUCUGCAAUGGGUGCAAAUGUCCAGAGACAAUUCUUUUGAAGGAGAAUUGGCUGUUAUUUCUCAAAUGUGAGAAGAUGAGUAUGCCAUCUGCAAUGGGUGCAAAUGUCCAGACAAAAUUCUUUUGAAGGAGAAUUGGCUAUUCUUUCUCAAAUGUGAGAAGAUGAGUAUGUCAUCUGCAAUGGGUGCAAAAGUCCAGACACAAUGCUUUCAAAGUAGAAUUGGCUGUGUUCUUUCUCAAACGGGAGAAUGUAGUGUUUCAUUUGUUUUAACUUUUGAUGCCGGGUGUAACCUACUAUGACAAUCUGCCCUCGCUUUAUUCUUGCUCUAUAUUUUACAUUAACCAUGAAACAAUCAUUUAAGAACUUUAAAACUUCUUGUUAUUUGAGAUGCAAGUUACCUUUUCUUUUC